AGCUUGCUGCCUCCUUCCCGCUGGCCCCGGAGCGGCCGCGCGAGUGUGGGGGUGCCGAGCCCGGGCCCAGAGCCCGGCGGGACGGGCCGGCCGGGACGAGGCCGCCGGGAGCCCCGGGGCCCCUCGGAGACCCCCAGCGACACCGGGGCGACUUCCCCGCCCCGCAUCCGUGGGGGCGCGAGGGGAGGGCAGUGUCCCGGGACAGCGCUGAUGUGGCCGGCCGGCAGCGCGCCGUGCCGUGCCGUGCCGUGCCCCUGGGGACGCUCCCCGGCCGGCGCGCCCGGGCCCGGCUCCCCGUGACCGCGUGUCUGGUCCCCAGGUGGCGGUGAGCGCGGCGUCCGGGACGUGUCCCCACACGACAUGCGGCCCCGGGGCGCGCUGCGCCAGCCUGCCCGCUCCUGCCCGCAGCAGCCAGAGGCCCGCGGGGCGGCCAGGCCGGCGGAGGAGCGGGCACGGAGGGGAAGGGCAGGGCCGGGGGGCGAGCCCCGCCGUGUGCCCGGAGAGCAGCCCCCGCCCCCCCGGGAGCCAGGUGCUGGGACCCUGCGCAGGUCUGAGCCGAAGCCUCCCGGACAAGAACCUGCAAUCCUGGAGCUGCACGGGAGUUCCCCAGGGAGACUGGAGGAGAGGGGCUCCCUGACAUGUGAGCUGGGCCAAACGCAGAAAGGGCAGGGCAGGCCUCCGGAGCAAGAGCUCCAGGAGGUGUUUGAGGACGUGGCCGUGUAUUUCACACAGAAGGAGUGGGAGCUGCUGGACAAUGACGACAAGAUGCUUUACCAGGACCAGAUGCUGAAGAAUUUCCAAGCCCUCGUUUCCCUGGGAUAUCAAGGUCCUACACCUGACUUGAUUUGCAGCAUCCAGCAAGGACAAGUGGAGCUCUGGAUCUCUGAUGAUGAGGGCGGUGGGGAAAUCUCAAGGUCCGAAGACCCGCUGUCAGAAGGUGCUUGGCAGCUGUGCAGAGCUAAGGAGCAGCCUCCUGCAGGAGGGCCAGCAGACCUGGAGCUAGGACAGACUUCCCUAGGGAGUUUGGGCAAGAUGGACUCCCUGAGACCUGAGAAGAAGCAGUGGCACAAGAGUCAGGGGAGGCCCCGAAAGCAGAAGGAGAAUGGAGCGAUGAACCAGCACCACUGCAUCCACCUGGGGAGGAAGACACACCGCUGCACUGAGUGCAAGAAGAACUUCAUCAGCUGGCAAGACCUGUCCCAGCACCAGUGUGUGCAGACCAGGGAGCAGCCACACUGCUGCACCAAGCGUGUGAAGAGGUUCAGGCAUUCCUCCAGCUUUGUCAGGCACUGGUGCAUGUAUGCAAGGGAGAAGCCACAUCAGUUCUUGAAGUGUGGGAAAAACUUCACCCAGUCCUCCAACCUGGCCAAACACCGACUCAUUCACGUGGCAGAAAAGCCACAUCAGUGCUCAGUGUGUGGGAAGAGCUUCACUUACUCCUCCAGGUUGGCUCAGCACCAGCGUAUCCACACAGGGGAGAAGCCACAUCAGUGCUUGGUGUGUGGGAAGAGCUUCACCUGCUCCUCCACCCUGGCCCAGCACCAGCGUAUCCAUACAGGGGAAAAGCCUCAUCAGUGCUCAGAGUGCGGGAAGAGCUUCACUUGCUCCUCCAGGCUGGCUCAGCACAAGCAUAUCCACACAGGGGAGAAGCCACAUCAGUGCUCAGAGUGUGGGAAGAGCUUCACUUACUUCUCCAGGCUGGCUCAACACCAGCGUAUCCACACAGGGGAGAAGCCACAUCAGUGUGUGGAGUGUGGGAAGAGCUUCACCUGCUCCUCCACCUUGGUCCAGCACCAGCUUAUCCAUACAGGAGAGAAGCCACAUCGAUGCUCGGAGUGUGGGAAGAGCUUCACCUGGUCCUCCAGCCUGGCCCGGCACCAACUCAUUCACACAGGGGAGAAGCCACAUCAGUGCUUGAAGUGUGGGAAGAGCUUCACCCACUCCUCCAGGCUGGCUCAGCACCAAUGUAUCCACACAGGGGAGAAGCCACAUAGAUGCUUGGAGUGUGGGAAGAGCUUCAACCAAUCCUCCAACCUGGCCAAACAUCGACUCAUCCACAUGGCAGAAAAGCCACAUCAGUGCUUGGAGUGUGGGAAGAGCUUCACUCACUCCUGCAGGCUGGCUCAGCACCAGCGCAUCCACACAGGGGAGAAGCCAUAUCAGUGCUCAGAGUGUGGGAAGAGCUUUACUCAGUUUUCCACGCUGGCUCAGCACCAGCGUAUCCACACAGGGGAGAAACCAUAUCGGUGCUUGGAGUGUGGGAAGAGCUUCACUCACUCCGGCAGCCUGUUUCAGCACCAGCGUAUCCACACAGGAGAGAAACCACAUCGUUGCUUGGAGUGUGGGAAGAGCUUUACCUGCUUCUCCAGCUUGGCCCAGCACCAGCUCAUCCACACAGGGGAGAAGCCACAUCAGUGCUUGGAGUGUGGGAAGAGCUUCACUUACUCCUCCAGGCUGGCUCAGCACCAGCGUAUCCAUACCAGGGAGAAGCUAUAUCAAUGCUUGGAGUGUGGGAAGAGCUUCAUUCACUCCUCCAGCCUGGCUCAGCACCAGCGUAUUCACACAGGGGAGAAGCUACAUCGAUGCUCAGAGUGUGGAAAGAGCUUCACCUGCUUCUCCAGCUUGGCCCAACACCAGCUCAUCCACACAGGGGAGAAGCCACAUCAGUGCUCAGAGUGUGGGAAGAGCUUCACUCAUUCCUCCAGCCUUGCUCAGCACCAGCGCAUCCACACAGGGGAAAAGCCACAUCUGUGCUCGGAGUGUGGAAAGAGCUUUACUCAUUCCUCCCACCUGGCUCGGCACCAGCGUAUCCACACAGGGGAGAAGCCACAUAAGUGCUCAGAGUGUGGGAAGAGCUUUGCUCAUUCCUCCAGCCUGGCUCAUCAUCAGCGUAUCCGCACAGGGGAGAAGCCACUUCAGUGCUUGGAGUGUGGGAAGAGCUUCACCUGCUCCUUCUCCCUGGCCCAACACCAACUCAUCCACACAGGGGAGAAGCCAUAUCAGUGUUCAGAGUGUGGGAAGAGCUUCACUCAUUCCUCCAAUCUGGCCCAGCACCAGCGUAUCCACACAGGGGAGAAGCCAUAUCAGUGCUUGGAGUGUGGGAAGAGCUUCACUCACUUCUCCAGCCUGGCUCGGCACCAGCGUAUCCACACAGGGGAGAAGCCACAUCAGUGUUCAGAGUGUGGGAGGAGCUUCACCCAAUCCUCCCACCUAGCUCGGCACCAGCUCAUCCACAGAGAGAAGAAACCACAUCAGUGCUCAGAGUGUGGGAAGUGCUUCCUUCACUCCUCCGAAUUGGCCUUUCACCAGUGCAUCCCUAUCCAUGAGCAUCCAUAGUUUUGCGAGCAAUACAAGAAGGAUUUGGAGAUGUAUACCUGCUUAGCACCCACCAGUGUCUGCAUACAGGGAAGCAGUGUGAUGCUGGUGCAAUGCAGCAACAGCUCACCCUUUGUUCAGCAUUUCUAGGUCACUGCAAAUCCCAAAGGACACAGGCUGACGUCUAAGGUUUGCUGAGGCAGAGGGGUGAAAAGGAAACUCCUGAUGCAGGGGUCAGCCCAGAUGCUGGGGGAACCUGUGAGGAGAUGAUUACAUCAGCCUUGGAGCCUGUGCCAUCCCCAUCAUUCUCUAAAAGCAGCCAGUGCUCCCAGGGGGAGAAGAAUUACCUUCACAAUAGGAUGCCUUCUGCAAGUGGCUCCUAAUGACAUCCAGGGGCUCUCUUUGGCCGAAUCCAAUUUUUGUCCUCCCUGUUAGUCCCAGGGUUUGGUAUGUUAGGCUUUUGCGUUGCAGGAAGGAGGACACUGAUGUCUGGGGAAGCAUUCCUUACUUCUAAGCAACCCUGACCUUGCCUUUCCUUCCCAGCACGUCACCCCUCUCCCAGGCCUGCAUAUUCCCAUCAGAGUUUGCAAGAAGCUGCUUCUCCCACCCUGUGAGCCCAGUUUGGCGGAGUUUGCUUAGCCUCUUGUCAGAGCUUUGCGCCACCAGGUGCCAGCUGCUUCCUCCUCUCCUUCAUAGACUUGUAGAAAAUUAGGGGUGUAAGGGACCUCCAGAAUUCAUCUAGUCCAACUGCCUGCUCCAAGCGGGACCAUCCCCAACUAGAUUAUCCCAGCCAAGGAUGGAGAUUGCACAACCUCUCUGGGUAACCUCUUCCAGUGUUUUAAUACCCUCGUAGUGAGAGAAAUUCUUCCUAACAUUUAAGCUAAACUUCCCUUCCUGCAAAUUGAGACCAUUGCUCCUUGUUCUGUCAUCUACCCUCACUGAGAACAGUCUGGCUCCAUCCUCUUUUGAACCCCCCUUCAGGUAGUUGAAGGCUGCUAUUAAGUCCCCUCUCAGUCUCCUUUUCUCCAGACUAAAUAAGCCCAGUUCCUUCAGGCUGUCCUCGCAAUUCAUGUGCCCCAGUGCCCUCACCCUUUUGGUUGCCUGCCUCUGGACUCUCUUCAAUUUGCCCACAUCCUUUGUGCAGUGGGGGGCCCAAAACUGAACACAGUACUCCAGAUGUGGCCUCACCAGUGCUGAAUAGAGGAGAAUAAAUGAUCUACUGGCAACACACCCACCAGUGCAGCCCAGGAUGCUGUUAACCUUCUUGACAACAAGGGCACACUGCUGGUUCAUAUUCAGUUUCUUGUCCCCUGUCACUCCCCAGGUCCUUUUCUGUAGAGCUGCUGACCAGUCAGUCACCCUAGCCUGCACCGGUGCAUGGGAUUGUUUUGUUCUAAGUGCAGGACUCUGCCCUUGUCCUUGUUGAACCUCAUGAGAUUUCUUUCAGCCCAGUCCUCCAAUUUGUUGAGGUCAUGCUGAAUCCUCGCCCUAUCUUCCAGCAUUUCUGCUACUCCCCCAGCUUGGUGACAGAUUCCUUGUUACUCAAGCCCCACAGCUUAACAUAAUAUCCUUGUGGUUGGUCUCUCUGUCCUCUCCAGAGCUGUGAAUUGGGAACAGACCAGGGAAGCUCUCUCUGUUACUUCCAGCUCCUUCCCUUUCCAGAGGAUUCACCUCAAUUCCAGGGUUGUUGCUCACCUUCAGGAGCAGGAGCUGGUCACCCUUGAGGCAUUACCCCAUGUCCUGCUAUGCAACAAGGACCCUGCCCUUUGAAUGAACCUCUGGCUAGGAGGAAAUAGAGUCUCUUUUCUGGGUUAAAUGACGUACUAGGGGUAAAGGAGGUGCAGCCUGUGACAGGUCCUGCCUCUUCUGUGGAAGGGUGGGGAAAGAAUAUGGGUGAAAUGCAGCACAUUGUAAUCUAUGAGUAUGCAUGUCAAGGAGAUAUCCUCAGACAAGGUGCAGCCCAUGGGUGCAUUGCUGGAGCCUUAGUAAUUUCUGGCCAGAGCAGCCAAAGGUCUGUUGUGCAGACAGGCCUCUAGAGGAGGCAGGACACGGAAACCCCAGGGCCUUGGGAGAAGCCAUCUCGUGUCCCCAGAGAGGAGCCCCUGCCCCACCAGGAGUCAGGUGAGGUACAGGAUGGAGGCUUGGGUGUGGGUCUGGGUGUCUGAGUGCCUAUCCUGCAUGCAGGGGGAGAGGCUCAAAUAUCUUCCCUUGCCUGGGACAGGGCUGCAAUCUUUGUAACCUUGUGGCCAGGCUGGGACCGAGCUCUGAUCUCUGUGGGUGGGCAGCUCCCAGACUGAGGCCCCUCAUCUGUCUCACUGUGUGUUUGCAGCACCCAGUAGGAAGAGGCUAUAUCUUGACCCUUGCCAUGCUGUCACAAUAAGAAUCAAUGACCUAAUUCAUGUUCCAACAGUCAGUGUUCACUGGUUCCUUUCUGAUGCCUCCGUGAGCCCUCUGUGCCCAGUAAGGGGCUGGUGCAGGUGACGAGGAAAUGAGACUCCCCAGCAACAUCUGCCUGGUUCAGGUGCUGGGAGCGUGCGUAGAGCUGAGCAGCAGCCUGCUGAGGAAGGUCCUGUAAAUGUGGAGCUGCAGAGGACUUACCCAGAGAGACCGGAGGAGAGGAGCUUCUUGAUACCUGAGCCAGACCAAGUGCAGAAGGGGCAGAGCAGGCCUCCAAAGCAGUGGGAGAGCCUGGAGGUGAGCAGGGCACCAUGUCUAGCUGGGGGUGGGAAGGCAAUACAGUUGGGGCAGAGUGCAGAAGGAGCCAGGGGUGCUGUAAAGAAUUGGGAGCGGAGAGACCUGAAGAGCAACAAGCUUGUAGUGAUGGAGGCUGCCAACACACCAAGCUGCAUUAACAGGAGCUCCCUCCCAAGCGCAGGUAGCUAGGGGUCUUAAAGGCUGGACUUUUAAUUAAGUAAAUGAGGGCAUCACUCUCAGAACCCAGCCCAGGGAAAGGAGUUUUGCAGUGGCGGGUGAUUCUAAGCAGGGUGUUUGCCUGCAGCCCAGCACUACCACACCGCAAAAACAAAUGAGCAGACUAAUUAUACUGGAAACCACAGGAGUGUAUCAAUAAUAACAGGCAACAAUAAUACUUACAGCUGUAUAGAAGGUCCAUACUCCUACUGUUACACACAUUACAUUUACAUUAUAGCCAAGGCACUCAACCAGAGGCAGCUUUGCCGUGGUGGGCCGUUUUCUUGUUCCACUUCAAUUUUCAGAUCACGUAAAAAUGGGAAAGCAGAAUAUGAUGCUAACAUGGCACAGGGGCCAUUGGAACCUAGCUCCAUUUUGGAGCCAUGUGACAUCCUCGUAUCGCCUUGCCCAUGUCUGUGCCACCACCUGGGAGAAAGUCCCUCCUGAAGAGUAGGCUGCCUUCAUCUAACCACUGCCUCAAAUCCAGGAUGGGGUUCUCUUUACUCAGGGUAAGAUUUACAUCCCCCCCAGGUUCAGCCAGACCCGUGGUACUAGGUUUAUGCUAUUACUGCCUGUUAGCAGGCCACCCUGGAGAAAACCUAUUGACUAAUCACCUGAUACUUUGGUGGCUACACCUGGGAAGGACCAUACAAGUGUUCAUCUGCUCUUUGUACAUUUGUGCAAAGUACAUUUGAACACUUUGCAUAUUUGUACUAACAUGAUGAAGCCCACUCAGAACUCACUUUCUAGCCCCUUUCCUCUCCCUCUUGGCCCAUGUCCACUAUUCUGAAGGACUUUAUUAUGGAUCUUCCCCAAUUGAGUGGGUUCGCUACCAUCUGAAUGGUGACAGGUUGACUAAGACGGUGCACUGUGUGGCAGAGCACCUUUUGGUGUCUGUCACUUUUAGGGCUUAGAUCAAGCAGCAGAGCAGCCUGCAGGUGGCUGCUGUCCUCAGUCAGGUGUCACAUGGCUAACAGAAGGCUGCCUGAUUGGGAAGAGGGCUCAGCUGUUAGCAAUAAGAGCAGGCCUGGUCAGGGGAGCCAGCAGUUGCUACAAGCAGCAUUGCCUGGUUGGGGCUGCUGCUUACAGAACACCUUGGAGGUACAAGGCAGGAAUUAUGGGGAUGGCAGAAGGUUGCUGGUGCUGGGGCAUGACCUAAAACUAACCCUGCUAGGGAUGGAUAGUGUGGUGGGGCUGCCUGUGGCAGGGUGGUCCCCAGGAAAUGCCACACCAGUUGCCUCCCUAGUGAAAGGCAAGUAUGGGGUGCCUUAUAGCCCCAGCCCCCACCACCAUCUGGUGGAUAACCCCAGAAUAGGGACAGGCCUGAGUCCAGGCAUUAUCAUCAGCCCUGGGACCCGAGGGGCAUAAGGCACUGAGGCCCCAGUGCGCGGGUGGAGGAGUGGCCCCAGCGAGGGGGCAUAGCAUGGAUAGUGGUGGCUGUGCACAGUAGGGUCACAGGGAUGGCUUGAAGGACUGCACACGUGCAUGCAAAGUAGGGUUCAAGUAGGUGGGCCUGAAGGGCUGCACAAGGGUGUGCAGGGUAGGGUUGCAGGUGUGGCCUGAAGGACUGUGCACAGGCCAGCCCCAAGAGUGAGAGGAUGAGCAGAAGCCCUAGUGAGACAGCAUGGGUUUAGGUGCCAGUGAAGGGGCAUAAUGGCCAAGGUAAGUCUAUGGACUCCUGAGGCCAAAUUUGGGGCAGAGGCCGAGGAGUAUGGCUCAGCAAGAGAGCUGGAGAAAGUUUGAUUAUUUUGAGUUAAAUCUGCAAGGCAUGGGACAUAGUAUAGGGAAGGUCAGAGCCGUGUAUAAUGCCCCAGGAAUUGGGGUACUUAAUGGGCAGCCUCCCAUAGUUUUAUAUCAGUUUUAAAAUGACAAGACGUGGCAGGAGAGACAGGGCCGACUGCCUUAGACAGGUGGGCAGGCUGGCGUUGUGGCCAGCCUCAUGAUGACCCCCUGCACUGCAUCCCAUGUGUAAGUCUUCCCUCGGCCAAGGACAAUGCCUAACUGUGGUUGGACAGGAUAGUUCACAUCCACAGGCUUGGAAGCAGCAUAGCCUUCAACUCUAGAUCCGAGUUUGUCUCCUGGUUUGGGCACAAGGUCGUGUAAUUGUUGUGGUUUGGGGCUUAGCUUUAAACAGCACAUCACCCAAAGAUGAACAGACAAAUAAGAAGAACCAGCCAGGCCUUCUUGGAACAUUGAUCAAUAUAUAUACUACUCACAAAAGCAUUGGCUGAAGUAGGUCUGUUCAGCGAAAUUGUCCAAUGCAUGAGUUCCUUAUAAAAGCAGAGCUUGACAUGUCGGCCAGAUGAACACCCCUGCCUGGAGAGGAAAGGGGGAGAUGGCUGUACAAAGUGGAGAAUAGUCCAGUCUCAGGUUGGCACAGAACACCCAGAUCAAGAUGUGAAACAAGCCCAUAGCAAAAGAUGGCUCAAGAUAUUCAAGAUAUUUGUGGAAUGUAAUAAGGAAUUUGUCCGGAUCACUGUAUAAAAGGAUAAUUAGAAAGCAUGAGAUCUAUGUAUCAGCCUAGGGUGCCUACAUGAUGUUGUGCUGAUAGCUUGUCGAAGGCAUACAUGCAAUAAUAUUAUGUCUGUCAAAUCACAGCUGUUUGGGCCAUAGCUAUUAGACAAUAAACUUGCCCAAACCUUU